AUUGAACGCUGGCGGCAGGCUUAACACAUGCAAGUCGAACGGUAACAUAAAGAAGCUUGCUUCUUUGAUGACGAGUGGCGGACGGGUGAGUAAUGCUUGGGAAUCUAGCUUAUGGAGGGGGAUAACUACGGGAAACUGUAGCUAAUACCGCGUAGAAUCGGGAGAUGAAAGUGUGGGACCUUCGGGCCACAUGCCAUAGGAUGAGCCCAAGUGGGAUUAGGUAGUUGGUGAGGUAAAGGCUCACCAAGCCGACGAUCUCUAGCUGGUCUGAGAGGAUGACCAGCCACACUGGGACUGAGACACGGCCCAGACUCCUACGGGAGGCAGCAGUGGGGAAUAUUGCGCAAUGGGGGCAACCCUGACGCAGCCAUGCCGCGUGAAUGAA
rnacentral:rRNA from 1 species